rnacentral:rRNA from 1 species
GGAAGUAAAAGUCGUAACAAGGUAUCCGUAGGUGAACCUGCGGAAGGAUUCAUUA